AGAGCGAACGCUGGCGGCAGGCUUAACGCAUGCAAGUCGAGCGGGCGUAGCAAUACGUCAGCGGCAGACGGGUGAGUAACGCGUGGGAACAUACCUUUUGGUUCGGAACAACCCAGGGAAACUUGGGCUAAUACCGGAUAAGCCCUUACGGGGAAAGAUUUAUCGCCAAAAGAUUGGCCCGCGUCUGAUUAGCUAGUUGGUGAGGUAACGGCUCACCAAGGCGACGAUCAGUAGCUGGUCUGAGAGGAUGAUCAGCCACAUUGGGACUGAGACACGGCCCAAACUCCUACGGGAGGCAGCAGUGGGGAAUAUUGGACAAUGGGCGCAAGCCUGAUCCAGCCAUGCCGCGUGAGUGAUGAAGGCCCUAGGGUUGUAAAGCUCUUUUGUGCGGGAAGAUAAUGACGGUACCGCAAGAAUAAGCCCCGGCUAACUUCGCGCCAGCAGCCGC
rnacentral:rRNA from 1 species